rnacentral:tRNA from 1 species
UCCGGGGUCUGCUAACGGUAGGCAAGUGGCCCCUGGAGCCAUUAAUCUUGGUUCGAAUCCAAGCCCCGGAA